rnacentral:rRNA from 1 species
GGCCUACGGGAGGCAGCAGUGGGGAAUAUUGCACAAUGGGGGAAACCCUGAUGCAGCGACGCCGCGUGAGUGAAGAAGUAUUUCGGUAUGUAAAGCUCUAUCAGCAGGGAAGAAGUUGACGGUACCUGAGUAAGAAGCCCCGGCUAACUACGUGCCAGCAGCCGCGGUAAUACGUAGGGGGCAAGCGUUAUCCGGAUUUACUGGGUUUAAAGGGUGCGUAGGCGGGCUUUUAAGUCAGCGGUAAAAAUUCGGGGCUCAACCCCGUCCGGCCGUUGAAACUGGGGGCCUUGAGUGGGCGAGAAGAA